AGUGAACGCUGGCGGUAGGCCUAACACAUGCAAGUCGAACGGCAGCACAGGAGAGCUUGCUCUCUGGGUGGCGAGUGGCGGACGGGUGAGGAAUACAUCGGAAUCUACUCUGUCGUGGGGGAUAACGUAGGGAAACUUACGCUAAUACCGCAUACGACCUACGGGUGAAAGCAGGGGACCUUCGGGCCUUGCGCGAUUGAAUGAGCCGAUGUCGGAUUAGCUAGUUGGUGGGGUAAAGGCCCACCAAGGCGACGACCCGUAGCUGGUCUGAGAGGAUGAUCAGCCACACUGGAACUGAGACACGGUCCAGACUCCUACGGGAGGCAGCAGUGGGGAAUAUUGGACAAUGGGCGCAAGCCUGAUCCAGCCAUACCGCGUGGGUGAAGAAGGCCUUCGGGUUGUAAAGCCCUUUUGUUGGGAAAGAAAUCCAGCUGGCUAAUACCCGGUUGGGAUGACGGUACCCAAAGAAUAAGCACCGGCUAACUUCGUGCCAGCCGCCGCAGUAA
rnacentral:rRNA from 1 species